GAAAUGCGAUAAUUAAUGUGAAUUGCAGAAUUCAGUGAAUCAUCGAGUCUUUGAACGCACAUUGCGCCCCCUGGUAUUCCGGGGGGCAUGCCUGUCCGAGCGUCAUUGCUGCCCUAAAGCACGGCUUGUGUGUUGGGCUUCCGUCCCUGGCAACGGGGACGGGCCCAAAAGGCAGUGGCGGCACCAUGUCUGGUCCUCGAGCGUAUGGGGCUUUGUCACCCGCUCCCGUAGGUCCAGCUGGCAGCUAGCCUCGCAACCAAUCUUUUUAACCAGGUUGACCUCGGAUCAGGUAGGGAUACCCGCUGAACUUAAGC
rnacentral:misc_RNA from 1 species